CACCUGUAUCUAGUGAUUAUAGUACAUGACAGCACAGAUACUAAACAUUUCCAUCACUCUACGGAACAGUGCUGAUCUAAUGACCUGCUGGUACCUCAGCUACAUCUCCGAAACUGAAUUAACAUUUCCUGCAAUUUCAUACCAGUUACAUUCUAUAUGUUGUUAGUUAUUUCUGCACCUGCACCCUUGUGUAUGGUGAGUUCCAUGAAAGCAAGGACCCUGCCCUACCCUACUCGUUCUCAGGCCCCCUCACACCCAGCAGAAAACCUUGGUACUAGGUGCUUAGCGAGCACUGGUUGAAUACAUGAGUGAGUGACUGAGUAAGCCAAUCUCUAAAAUUCUGUUUCAAAAACAGACAGAAAAAUAACCACUUAUGUAAUGUCUUAGAUUUUAUGCCAAUGAUAUGGCUAUAAACAUUGAAAAUGUAGAGUAAUGUGACCUGGCUUACAAGAUGGCGACAGCAUGAGGGUUUAUCACACAUAAUUAUAGCGUAAUCCGAGCAGAGGCAGGAGAGAUAGAAGGUAGAAGGCGUUCUCUCCCAUUGCCUUCUGCCCCUGCUGCACUCAGUAUUAGCCGGACCAGCCUUCAGUGGGUAACUCCUACCAGCAGUUGCCACUUCAUGGAGACCCCCGCAGCAACAGUGUCUGUUGUUAUAACAUCUCUGCUUCUCUCUGUCACGUGUUCUGCCCCUAAAGGGUCAGAACUGCUGGCCAGACAACCAGAUGACAACUUUUUUUCC